CCGCAGCUUGUCGACGGCCUAUAUUUUU
rnacentral:sRNA from 1 species